rnacentral:rRNA from 1 species
AUUGAACGCUGGCGGCAUGCUUUACACAUGCAAGUCGAACGGUAACAGGCCUUCGGGUGCUGACGAGUGGCGAACGGGUGAGUAAUGCAUCGGAACGUGCCCAAUCGUGGGGGAUAACGUAGCGAAAGUUACGCUAAUACCGCAUAAGCCCUGAGGGGGAAAGUGGGGGACCGCAAGGCCUCACGCGAAUGGAGCGGCCGAUGUCAGAUUAGCUAGUUGGUGGGGUAAAGGCCCACCAAGGCGACGAUCUGUAGCGGGUCUGAGAGGAUGAUCCGCACACUGGGACUGAGACACGGCCCAGACUCCUACGGGAGGCAGCAGUGGGGAAUUUUGGACAAUGGGCGCAAGCCUGAUCCAGCCAUGCCGCGUGCGGGACGAAGGCCUGG